rnacentral:rRNA from 1 species
CCUACGGGAGGCAGCAGUGGGGAAUAUUGGACAAUGGGCGAAAGCCUGAUCCAGCCAUGCCGCGUGUGCGAAGAAGGCCUUUUGGUUGUAAAGCACUUUAAGCGAGGAGGAGGCUACUUGGAUUAAUACUCUAGGAUAGUGGACGUUACUCGCAGAAUAAGCACCGGCUAACUCUGUGCCAGCAGCCGCGGUAAU